GACGUAGGGGGCCAGCGUUGUUCGGAAUUACUGGGUGUAAAGGGUUCGUAGGCGGUGCGGCAAGUUGGGAGUGAAAUCUCUGGGCUUAACCCAGAGGCUGCUUCCGAAACUGCUGUGCUUGAGGACUGGAGAGGAGACUGGAAUUUACGGUGUAGCGGUGAAAUGCGUAGAUAUCGUAAGGAAGACCAGUGGCGAAGGCGGGGUCUCUGGACAGUUCCUGACGGCUGAGGCACGAAGGUCAGGGGAGCAAACGGG
rnacentral:rRNA from 1 species